CAAAGGGUGUGCACUGUAGCCAUGGCUAAAGCUCUCCUCAUUUCACCUUCCUACUUCAUCUUCUUCAUCUUCUUCGUUUUCUCUUAUGCCACAAUCCCAGUUUUCGGAGAAGAAUAUAGCUAUGUCAAAACUGUUGAUUUUGAGAAAAUGAAUCUACCGAAGGAAAAGGUAACACACUUUCAACUUUAUUGGCAAGAUGUUGUUAGUGGGUCCAAUGCAACCUCUGUCACAGUGAUUCAACCAGUGAAUAACUCGUUACCAUUUUUUGGUAUGGUAAAUAUAAUUGAUAACUCAUUAACCGUUGGGCCAAAUUUGAGCUCAAAAACAGUUGGAAAGGCCCAAGGGCUUUAUGCAUCUACGGGACAAAAAGAAUCUUCAUUAUUGAUGGUUAUGAAUUUUGCAUUUACUGAUGGCAAAUACAAUGGUAGCACAUUCACCGUGGUAGGACGAAAUAAUGUAAAUGCUGAGGUGAGGGAAAUGCCGAUAAUCGGUGGCAGUGGGCUUUUCCGAUUUGCUAGAGGUUAUGCUUUAGCAUCAACUUACUCAUCCAACGACAAAGGAGAUGCCACUAUUGAAUACAAUUGUUAUGUCAUACAUUAUUGAUGUUUUUUCUUUUUCUUUUUUUAAUUUUUUGUGUGGAGUUUUGAUUCACAAUAGUGAUAUACUUAAAUAAUUGUGUGUUCCCACCAUAGGUAAGUGGGAUUCUCUAGUUUUGUUUAAUUUGAAUAAAUUAGGUGGCUUUUACUUCACCUAAUUGAAUGUAAGCAUACUUUAAUAAAAUAAAAUAAAAUGAUUAUUUAUGUGGAUUAAUUACUUUCUUGAAAUUUGUUAAACCAUACUUUACUCUAUUAUAAAAAAGUUGGAGAUAAGUAAAUUUAAAAGCUUAUAUCAACAAAGUUGAAGUGGCAUCACUUUUCUAUUCAACUUAUCUAGGCUUUGUUUGAUAAAAAUGACAUAAUUCUUUGAUUUCACAUGACCCAAAUUAUCUUAACCAAACUAAAAUAUAUUCAACUUUCACUAAUUUUUAGUCAUAUAUAAUGAUAAUGAAGUUAGAAAAAGCUCAAAAAUUUGUGGAGCAUUCCCAUUUACAAAAAUGUUUUUAAGAAAUGUUUUGAUGAAAAUUAUAAAUUUUAUUUACCUUGAUAUACAAGCUAACUUUUUCCUUUGUUUGACCUAAGAUAUCAUUUAAUUGAACAUAUUUCAAAAGAAGUUCAUUUAUUGCACCUCAUUGUUUACAUAUAACUCCACAUGAUGACUAGCUGCCUCCACCUCCAUUGGCCAUUCGGUAUAUAUUAUAAUAUUACCACAAAUUUUAAUAUUAUGAUGAUACAUGCAUAAACUUAAAUUCUAACAUUUAUUUAUUUAUUUAUUCUUUGUUAGUUUAUUUUUAUAGUUGGAGAUAUGAGUUUCAGACUAGUUCGAUUAGCAUGCACGUCUUAGCUCGGUAUAGUCAUCAUCUUGAUUGACUUACAACAUAUCAGGUAGUAAAAGUGUGAUUCAUUUCUUAUACUUGUUUCUCUAAACAAAUUCUAAAUCACUUAUUAUAUCUAACAUUUCUUUGGUACAGAUUAUAUGGCAACCUUAUGUUGAUGACAUGAAUGUUGGUCUUCCUGAUUAUUGUACUGCUGGGAAAUAUAUAUAGUGCACUAUCUCACCUUUGAUAUGUUUCCACAUAAUUGAAUGGUAUAGACCUGAUCGAGUAUUGCUGCAGUUUGGAUUUCAUCAAAGGAUUCCUCAGCCAUGUAAUAAUGAGUCAAUCUUACACAAAUGUGAUUUGAGAGGUAUACAUGAUGUUGAUUAGACUACUUGAUACGGAGACUACAUUCAAUGUUGGAUCUCUAGGCGUGAGCAUAUUGCUAGAGGCGAAAUGGUUUUAGGUUCAUUGGGGUAUCAUGAUCCAUACAUGGUGUGGUAUCGCUCCAUUACUAUUCGAUUUCUUACUCGAACUAGGUCCUUCCAUGAGGUACUGGUAAUUUUCAUGUUUUAUAUUUUUAUUAAAGUUUAUUUUAUUUUUAUAAGAAUUUAAUUUAUCUCCUAUUUGACUUACAGACUACCAGCAUACACCAGAUAUAUGAUAUUGCACCUCUAGAUGAUUUCCACAUUCGCAGACUAUGUAUGUAUUAGAGGCCAUACAUGAAAUGGAUCACUUAGAUGCUCCAUUUAAUGUUGAUGCUACUACACAGCUCCAACCUCGAUCAGGAGAUGUACGACCUACACGACAAGGGCCUCGUACAAGGGAGAUUAGGCAUACACCGGUUGUUACCUGAGUGCAACCAUUGAAUGACAUUAGUCCACCACCUCAUCAGCAGCCAAUAUCAUCCAUUACUCAAUCAAGAAGUGUAUGAACUAGAAGGGAAUGGGCUCACAUGAGAGGUAGUCUACCACCUCAUCAGCAGCCGAUAUCAUCCAUUACUCGAUCAGGAGGUGUAUGAACUAGAAAAGGAGCAGCUCAUACGAGAAGGACUACGCAUACAUUUGUUCUUGGAGAUGCAUCAUCGACUGACAUUAGCCCGCCACCUGUUGAGGAGACCCUUAUUACACCUAUGGAGGUGCCAUCCACACCACCCAUAGUAUUACUUGUUGCGUCAUCACCACAACCGAUAGAGGCUACAUUGGUUAAUGAGGAGUUAGUUCAUAUAGCAAAUGAUGAUAAGUGAGGAUAAAAGAAUGAUCGUGGUCGAGGACGUGGUAGGAGACGUGGUCGUGGAGUUCAUGAAGGGAUACAUGUUAGCCCCAUAGAGCCAAUAGUGGAACAUGCAUAUCAUGGACGUCCACAACGAACAAUAAAGGCUCAUUCAUGCAGUACACAUUGAGGACGUUACUACAUAUGACUUGUAUUUUGGAUACUAUUAGUAUUUUGCAUAUCAUUAUUUUGGACAAAUACUUAAGAUGUAUAUUUAUACUUGUUAUAUUUUGGAUUAACUAACUUUUUAUUAACGCAAGUUCUAUUGUAUUCUAUCUAUUUUGGACUUAUUUUACACAAAAUAGUAUUGUUACUAUUUUGGAAAGGUGCUGAUUUAAUUGACAUUUGGUUUACUUGUUUUCAUUGGUUUUGGAUUGAAUGUCAAAAUAUUGAAUAUAAUGUAUACAGGUGAUAAACUUUAAACAUUUGGUUAUAUAUAUAGAAGGUAAUAUUGAUUAAAAGAUAGAUUUUUUUUUCUUUUGUGGAAGGUGUCUCUUCAAGAGAUACAUUCGGCAUAAAUUCGAAAUUUUCCACUAUGUGUGGAAAUUGUAGUAAGUGUCUCUUGAAGAGACACUUACAGUAUAAACCUAAUUUUUAAAAAAUUAUGGAAGGUGUCUAUUCAAGAGACACCUUUAGUAUAAUUCCAUUUUUUUGGAAAUGUGGAAGGUAUCUCUUGAAGAGACACCUUCAGUAUAAAUUCGAAAUUUUCCCUAUGUAUGGAAAUUGUGAAAAGAGUCUCUUGAAAAGACGCUUUCAAUAUAAACCCAAUUUUUUUAAAAUUAUGGAAGGUGUCUCUUCAAGAAACACCUUUAGCAUAAAUUCAAAAUUUUCAACUAUGUAUGGAAAUUGUAGAAAAGAGACACUUUCAAUAUAAACCCAAUUUUUUUAAAAUUAUGGAAGAUGUCUCUUCAAAAGACUUCUUUAGUAUAAAUCCAUUUUUUAGGGAAUUAUUUCGAAAAUUUCAACUAUGUAUGGAAAUUGUGGAAAGUGUCUCUUGAAGAAACACUUUCAGUAUAAACCCAAUAUUUUUUUUUUUUAAAUUAUGGAUUUAGUAUAAAUCCAAUUUUUUGGGGAUUGUAGGUGUCUUUCAAAAGACAUCUUUAAUAUAAAAUCAAUACAAGUUAAAAUUUGUGAAAUUGUGGAAUCAAAAGGCACUUUUAGUAUAUAUUGGAAUUUAUGGAAUUGUGGAAAGUGUCUCUUGAAGAAACACCUUUAGAAUAAAUCCAAUUUUGUGGGAAUGGUAGAAGGUGUCUUUUGAAAAUACACCUUCAAUAUAAAAUCAAAUUUAAGAGACACAUAGUAGUAUAAAUUAAAAUUUAUGAAAUUAUGGAAGAGACACCUUCAAUAUAAAUCCAAUUUUUUGGGAAUAGUAUAAUGUUUCUUUUUAAGAGACUCAUUUAGUAUAUAUUAGAUUUUGUGGAAUUGUAGAAGGUGUCACUUGAAGACAUGCUUUCAGUAUAAAUCCAAUUUUUUUUGAAUUGUAAAAUGUAUCUUUUGAAGAUUCAAUAUAAAAUCAAAUUUAAGAGACACAUGAUAUAAAUUAAAAUUUGUGAAAUAGUGAAAAGUGUCUCUUGAAAAAACACUUUUAGUAUAUAUUGAAAUUUAUAGAAUUGUGGAAAGUGUCUCUUCAAGACACACCUUUAGUAUAAAUUCAAAUUUUUUGGAAUCGUAAAAGGUGUCUCCAAACACCUUUAAUACAUAUUGGAUUUUGUGGAAUUGUGGAAAGUGUAUUUUCAAGAGACACCUAAAAUUCAAUUUUCUAAAAUUAUAGAAGUCAAGAGAUACAUUUAGGUUAAAUUCAAUUCUUUUAAAUAUGUAUCAUGAUUUUGAAAAUUUUGGAAGGUGUUUCUUCAAAAGACACCUUCCACGUGGCAAAAAACUGUCGUAGAUCUAUCAAUAUUUUUUCAACUACCAUUUUUUAAAAUUGCUGCAAAAGUUAAAAAAGCCCGUAUAGAAGUAGUGUUAUUAAGUAUCAAACUUUAAAGUAAACAAUUCUAAAAGCAUUUUUUAAAUAUUUUAUGGGAUACUAUUUUUUAAAAAUAAUAUUAAUUAAAUAAAAAAUCCUAACACUAAAACCCAAUACAUGUAUGUAUAGGCAUCCGUUGCCAAGCUGAUUUUUUAAGGAAAGGAAUUGAAUAUUAAGGAGAAUUGUGUUUUGGAGUCAAUUGAGCCCAAAAAUUAAGACUUGACCCAUGAAAGUUACAUAAUUGAUGAGAAUGAUAUAAAAUAUGAAAAGACUAAUAUACCCUUCAAAACUAUUUUAAGUAUUUUCUACCACAAUGUUUGACAAAUUUUUUUAUUUUAAUUUUUUUAAUAAUUAUUCUAAAAAUUUAUUAUUUUUAGAAACUAAUUUUUUUUAAAAAUAUAAUUCUAAAAACAUAUCAUUUUAAAAAAAUAAUUUUGACAUAUUUUUAGUUAUUUUUUACCUACAUAAUUUUAAAUAUAUAUAUUUUUCAAGAUGUUUGAUUUUUAAAUAAUAAUAAUAAUAAUAAUAAUAAUAAUUUAUUUUUAGUUUUUUUUAAAAGGGGCAUUUUUUUUCCAAAUCACUGAAUUAAAUUAAAAUUUAUUGAGGUUUACAAAAGAAAUAAAAUUUAAAUUAAUAUUUUUCUACUUUUUUUUCAUCUUCAAUAAAUGUUAUUUUUGGAAAAAUAAAAAAUCUAUAUCCUUCAUCUCAAUUUCCAUACUUCUUUUUAGUCUUGGGCUUAAAUAGUGAAUUUAUAUGGACUAAAACUUAAUUUUUAAACUCAAUUAGGUCUAAAACACAAUUAUACCUAAAUAUUAAUUCUCAUAUGGUCUCUCUCUCCUCCUCUCUCUCUCAUAUUCUUUGAAGAAUCUAUAAUCUAUAGAGUUGACUUUUUUAAUGCCCAUGAGCAGCUGAUUUUUGAAGGAAAGUGAUUGAAUAUUAAUGGUUGUGAGACCCAUUCUCAUAUGUUCUCUCUUCCUCUCCCCCUUUCUCUCUCAUAUUCUAUGAUAGAAUCCAUAGUCAAUAGGGUUGAUUUUUUUUUUUUUAAUGCCCAAGAGCAGCUGAUUUUUGAAGGAAAGUGAUUGAAUAUUAAGUUGUGAGACCCACUCUCAUAUGUUCUCUCUAUCUCCCCCUCUCUCUCAUAUUGUAUUAUAGAAUCUAUAAUCUAUAGGGUUGAUUUUUCUUUUUUUAACGCCCAUGAGCAGCUGAUUUUUGAAGGAAGGUGGUUGAAUCUUAAUGGGUUGUGAGACCCAUUAAUAUAGAGAGGAACUCAAAAUCCUAAUAAAAAUGUAUUUCAAUUAAUAAUGGAUUUUUAAUUCAUAUGCUCAUUUUUAAUAAUUAAUUCAAAUAAAAUAACAAAUUAAAAGUAAAAUUGAUUUUUUAAUUUCAUUUUUUAUUUCAAUGUCUCAAAUAUAUACAAAAAAUAUGAUGAUUAUUUUCAAGGUUUAUAAAACAAUUCUACAAAAAUAGAUUUUUAAAAAAUAUUUAAAAAUAAGGUGUUUGAUAAAUCAACUUAAUUACUUAAUUUAAAUAAUUAAAUAAAUUAGAUAUAUUUUUUAAAAUAAUUUAAUAUUAAAAUUAUUUUUAAUUUUUAAUAUUAAAUUAAACUAAUUAAUUUAUAUUUUAUUUCAAAACCUUUUUACCUCAUUUUCCCAUACCAAUGCAAAAUAAUUAACAUAUAUACCAAACCUUGGCUCACGAGUUUCAAUGGUAAAAUGACAAUUUUAUCCAGUAGGAUGAAGGGUUUUGGCCCACCACAAUAAACCUUAGGGCCUGCCUACUUUGUUGGCGGCUGCCACCGUGGAGCCAGACACUUUUGUUAGGCGGGGCAUCAAGAGAAUUAUUAAUAUAUUAUAGUUAAGGUAAUUAAUGAUAUUUAUUAUUAUUAAAAUUAAAUAAUUUUAAAUAUUAAUUGUUAAAAUGUAUCAAAUUAAACAACCAAUAUUUUUUUAAAUAAAUUAGAUUUUAUAAAAACAUUAUCAAGAAGAUUUAAAAGGAAAUUUCAAAAUAAAUAAAAACUAGAAAAAAAAAUAUUAGAAAUUUUGAAUAAUUUUAAUUAUUUUGUAGUAAAAAACCAUAAAAUUUAUUUUAAAGAAUUCAAUCAUUUAUAUUAUAAGUUUUGAUAUUUUUCAUGAAAAAUUGUGCUCCGAGGAUUAAAAUUUUUAUAGAUAUCAAAAUUAAUAUCUUAAUUUUUUUUCAAAUAACUAAAUAUAAGAUAGUUGAAAUGAAAUCUUUUACUUAAAACUUAUGUUUUAUAUAAUACGUCAUUACGAAGCAUGUUAAAAGUUUUAUUUUUUAUGAUUUAGUUAAGUCUAAUAAAAAACAAGUAUAAAAAUGAAAAAUUUUGAAUAAACAAAAAGAAAGAAAUACCAACAUUAAAAGCGAUUUUUUUUAAUUUUAGUUCAAUUUUAAUAUUUGAUUAGUAAUUAAUAAUCAAUAUUAUUUUUUUGAUAAUAAUAUUUAGUUGUCAUUGUUUUAAAUUUUAUAUUUAUAUUUUUUUAGAGGGGAUAAAUUUUCUAUUUUGGUUUUUAUUUUCCUAAAAAAAUUUAACAUAUAAAAUUGACGGUGUGGGGUACACGUGGCCCCCAUGAGCCUGACUUGAAUGGCAAGCAGGACUCAUUUUCUAGAAAAAAAAAAUUGUUUCUAGAAAAUUGAGGGUUGGGGAAUGGGGACGGGACAUGUGACCCCCCUGAGCCUUACUUGGGUGGCGGCAGGGCGCGUUUUCUAGAAAAAGUUACGUCCAACUAGUCCGGGGUCUUUCCAACUUUUCCUUCUUUCCAUUCAAAAAAGGCAUACUAUCACAAGUCGAUAAGACAUACAAAUUACCCAAAACCACCAAUUGCCCAAGGCACCAAAACAAGUAAUCUGGAGGGGCAUUUUGGUCAUUAUCUUUAGAAAAUUUCCCCAUUGUGACGUGUCUUCGAGCGGUUGGCAACUAGGACUUGGUCUUUGCGCAGUUGGUAACUAUGACGCCUUGGAAAUUGGAAAAAUAUUAUUCUACGGAAAAUGAAACAUUCAAUAUAUGUAUAUAUAGCCUAGGUGUUCUGAGCAAAUGUAGAUAACUCAGGUUUUGUGAGCAAAGGCACAUCAUAACUCAAGUUUUGUGAGCAAAGGGUGUGCACAGUAGCCAUGGCUAAAGCUCUCCUCAUUUCACCUUCUUACUUCAUCUUCCUCGUCUUCCUCAUUUUCUCCUAUGCCACAAUCCCAGUUUUCGGAGAAGAAUACAGUUAUGUCAAAACUAUCGAUCUUGAGAAAAUGAAUCUGCCGAAGGAAAAGGUAACACACUUUCAACUUUAUUGGCAAGAUGUUGUUAGUGGGUCUAAUGCAACCUCAGUUACAGUGAUUGAAGCACUGAAUAACUCAACAUUUUUUGGUUCGGUAAAUAUAAUUGAUAACUCGUUGACCGUUGGGCCAAAUUUGAGCUCAAAAACAGUUGGAAAAUCCCAAGGGUUAUACGCAUCUACAGGACUAGAAGAAUCUUCAUUAUUGAUGGUUAUGAAUUUUGCAUUCACCGAUGGCAAGUAUAACGGUAGCACAUUUACCGUGGUAGGACGAAACAAUGUAAAUGCUGAAGUGAGGGAGAUGCCAAUAAUUGGUGGUAGUGGGCUUUUCCGAUUUGCUAGAGGCUAUGUUUUAGCAUCGACUUACUCAUUCAGCGACAAUGGAGAUGGCACUAUUGAAUACAAUUGCUAUGUCAUACAUCAUUGAUAUUUUUUCUUUUUUUAGUUUUUCUGUGGAGCUUUGGUCCAUAAUAGUGAUAUACUUGAAUAAUCGUGUGUUCCCACCAUUACUAUGUGGGAUUAUCUAGUUUUGUUUAAUUUGAAUAAAUUAGGUGGCUCUUACUUCAUUUGAUUUAAUGUAAGCAUACUGCGAUAAAAUAAAAUAAAAUAUUUGUUUGUAUGAAUUAAUUACUUUCUUGGAACUUGUUAAACUAUACUUUAUUUUAAAAAAAAAUAGAGAGAAGUAAAUUCCAAAGCUCGUAUCAACAAAGUUGAAGUGUUAAUCACUUUUCUAUUCAACUUAACAACUUUUUGUGGGUUGAUUUGAUAUGUUUGAAUUAUUACACAUAUAUAUAUAUGGCUUUUGAAUAUAAGGCUAAUUGGGAGGACUACCUUUACUUUGUUUAAUAAGAAUGGAAUAUUUCUUUGAUUUCACAUUACUCAAAUUAUAUUAACCAAACUAAAAUAUAUUCAACUUUCACUAAUUUUUAGUCAUAUAUAAUGAUAAUGAAGUUAGAAAAAAGCUCAAAAAUUUGAGUUGCAUUCCCAUUUACAAAAAUGCUUUUAAGAAAUGUUUUGAUGAAAACUAUAAAUUUAUUUUACUUUGAAAUGAUAGAUAAGUUUAACUCUUUCUUUUGUUUCAUCUAAGAUAUGAUUUCAUUGAACAUAUUUCAAAAGAAUAUAUGAUUCUUAAACAUUCAAGAGUACCCUUGAAUUAGAAAACCAAUAAAAGAACCCAAUCAGACAAUUGGUUAGAAAAAAAAAAUGUAAAACACGAAAAAAAAUUAAAACUACAAAUGUGGGGAAAAAUAAAAACCUAAAAGAUCUAGCAUAUCAAUGUCAGAUAACACGUAAAAACAAUACUAAAAAGGAUGUGCUUGCUUCAUUAGGGGAUGGAGGAGAAUUUCCUUUUUUUAGUAAAAAAAAGUUAGAAGUUUCGCAACUUCAAUAAACUUCUAAUAAUUUUUAUAUCUUAUAUACAAAUUAUUAUUAUUAUUAUUUUGUAUUUUUUAAAAAUAUAUGAAAUACAUUCAAAUGGGCACUUAAUUAUAAAUAAAUGAUAGCUAUUCUACCAUUUCUCUAAUAAUAAAAAAAUUAUUUUUCAAUGAAUUUAGCAUUCAAAAAGCUUUAAAUCAUUUUUUUUCUACUGAUUGUGUAAUAGUAGAUGAUGAAAAAUUAACAAUAAAUGAUUAAUUAUCAUCAUAUGUUUAAUCUUUAUCAAUUAUCCUUGUCCUAUUAAAGCAAGGUGACAAGUUGAAUGUGAUUAGGUUUAUGAAAGUUGAAAUCAAUCGUCCUCAUCCUUGUAUGCAAGUGGGUCAUGGACUCAUGGCAUGUGGCUAUAGCCCAUUGAAUGUAUAGAAGUAGUGUUAUCAAAUAUCAAACUUUAGAGUAAACAAUUUUAUAGGCCACAUCCAUGAUCCACCCUAGAGAAUUGGAAAAAUAAUUUUAUUAAGGUUAAGCAACAAUGGGAUUUGAUUUGAUUGUAAUGUGAUUUGAGGGGAGAAUGAAAGGAGUGGGUCAUUGGGAUAAUGUUGGUUAUAUUUGUGGCCAAUGGGUAGGAUCCCAAGUGGGAGAAAAUGUAAAGAAAUGUAAGGUGAUUAUGGUUUUUUGGUUUUUGUUAGGGUUCUCUAAAGUAGAUUAGGGGAAGAAUGAGAAAGUGAGCCCCAUUAUUUUGAAUGAUUAGUUUUUUUAAUUUUUUAUAAGAUGAUUUUGUGUAAAAUAAAAAAAAUACAAAAAAUACAAAAUUAAAGGACAGGAUAUUUAUUAAUUAUUAAGAAGAAAUGGAAUUUUUGGAAAAAAAAUUGCAUAUAAAAUAUUUUUUGAAAAGACAACUAUUUUUUUUUAUCUAAAAUCAUAUAUGAAAAAGACAUUUUAAAAGCUUUUUUAAAUAUUUUAUGGGAUACUAUUUUUAAAAAAUAAUGUUAAUUAAAUAAAUAAAAAAUCCUAAUACUAAAACCCUGCAGCAAAAAGUUGGCAACAAAGCAUGUUUAUCUCCAAGUUUUGCCAUCCAUUGUCAUUUUUUAGUUGUCCUUUUUCCAUUGAGUUAAAUAAAAUGGAUGUGAUGGUGGUGCAUGCCUUGGUGGAGCCAAUUCUUUGCCACCCAAGUUUUUAAUUUAUGUUCUUAUUUUUAAUAAUUAAUUCACAUAAAAUAACAAAUUAAAAGUGAAAUAGAUUUUUUAAUUUCAUUUUUUGUUUCAAUGUUUCAAUAUCUCAAACAUGAGAAUUAUUCUCAGAUAUUAGAAAGAUUUAUAAAACGAUUCUGAAAAUAUAAUUUUUUCAAAAAAUGUUCAAUUAUAAAGUAUUUGGUUAAUCAAUUUAAUUAUUUAAUUUAAGUUAUUAAAUAUAUUUAAUAAAAUAAUUUAAUAUUAAAAUUAUUUUUAACUUUUAAUAUUAAAUUAAAAUAAUUAACUUAUACUUAAUUUCAAAACUUUUUACCUCGUUUUUCAUAUUAAUAUAAAAUAAUUAACAGACCUACCUUGGCUCACAAGUUUGAAUAGUAAAAUGACAAUUUUAUCCAAUAGGAUGAAGGGUUUUGGCCCACCACAAUAAACCUUAGGGCCCACUUUGAUGGCGGCUGCCACCGCGGAGCCAGACACUUAUGUUAGGUGGGCCAUCAACAGAAUUAUUAAUGUAUUAUAGCUAAGGUAAUUAAUGAUAUUUAUUCUCGUUAUUAUUAUUAUUAUUAUUAAAAUUAAAUAAUUUUAAAUAUUAAUUAUGAAAAUGUAUCAAAUUAAACAACCAAUACUAAGAAUAUUUUUUAAAAAAAAUUAGAUUAUAUAUAUAUAUAUAUAUAUAUUAAAAAAAUUAGCAAGAACAUUUAAAGGGAAAUUUCAAAAUAAAUAAAAACAAAAAAAAAAAUCAUUAGAAAUUUUGAAUAAUUUUAAUUAUUUUAUCACAAAAACCCGUAAAAGUUAUUUUUAAAAAAUCAAGCAUUUAUGUUAUAAAUUUUGAUAUUUUUCAUGGAAAAUGUGUGUGUUUUUAAAUCUCAAUUAUUUUAUAACAUAAUUUUAUUUAUUUAUAUCUUAAUCAUAUUUAUAUUCAAAGACCUAAAUUUUUCUAUGUGCUUUUAAAAAUAAAGAUUAAAAUUUCAAUAGAUGUCCAAAUUAAUACUUUUAAAUUUUUUUCUUUUUUCAAAUAAUUAAAUAUACAAUAAUCAAAAGUAAAGUUGUUUACUUAAAAUUUAUGUUUCAUAUAAUAAGUUAUUAUGAAAACAGUAGCAAUUUAAAAGUAUUAUUUUUUAUGAUUUAAUUAAGUAUAAUAAAAAAUAAGCAUGAAAAUGAAAAAGAUUGAAUAAACAAAAAGAAAUAAAUGCUAAUAUCAAAUGAGAAUUUUUUUAAAUUUUAGUUCAAUUUUAAUAUUUUAUUAGUAAUUAAUGGUCAAUAUUAUUUUUUUGGUAAUAAUAUUUAGUUGUCAUUAUUUUGAAAAUUAAAUUCAUAUUUUUUUUUUAGAAGGGAUAAAUUUUCUAUUUUGGUUUCUAUUUUCCUAAAAAAGUUUUGACAUAUAAGGGAAUUUGUUUGUUUCUAGAAAAUUCAGAGGGCCAGGUGCCCUGAGCCUUACCUGGCACCGCCAGAGGCGGCAAGACUCAUUUUCUAGAAAAAGUUUUUAUAUGUUUUCCUUCUUCCCAUUCAAAAAAUGAGUGCUAUUACAAGUCGAUAAGACUUUGAAAUUACCCAAAACCACCAAGUGCCCAAGCCACCAAACCCAAUAAGCUGGAGGGCCAUUUUGGUCAUUCUCGUUAGAAAUUUUCUCCAUUGUGAUGUGUAUUUGAGCGGUUGGCAACUACGACUUGGCCUUUGCCCGGUUGGAAACUUCAUACUGACUUUGAAUUUGGAAAUGUCAAUUUUAUUGUACGGAAAAGUCAUUCUUAUUGUAUGAAAAAUCAACCAAUCGAUACAUAUAUAUAGCCUAGGUUUUGUGAGCUAAGGUAUAUACCUCAAGUUUUGUGAGCAAAGGUUUAUAGCUCAAGUUUUGUGAGCAAAGGUUUAUAGCUCAAGUUUUGUGAGCAAAGGGUGUGUAUUGUAGUCAUGGCUAAAACUCUCCUUGUUUCACCUUCCUACUUCAUCUUCUUCAUCUUUCUCAUUUUUUCUUCUACCACAACUCCAAUUUUUGGAGAAGAAUAUAGCUAUGUUAAAAGUGUCAAUCCUAAAAAAAUGAAGAUACCGAGAGAAAAGGUAAGUCAUUUUAAACUUUAUUGGCAGGAUGAUGUUAGCGGGUCUAAUGCAACUUCCGUCACAGUGAUUGAAGCACUGAAUAACUCGUCACCAUAUUUUGGUAUGGUAAAUAUAAUUGAUAACUCGUUAACCGUUGGGCCAAAUAUGAGCUCAAAAACGGUUGGAAAGGCCCAAGGGCUUUACGCAUCUACGGGACAAGAAGAUGCUUCAUUAUUGAUGGUUAUGAAUUUUGCAUUCACUGAUGGCAAGUACAAUGGUAGCACAUUCACUGUGUUAGGACGAAACAAUGUAAAUGCUGAGGUAAGGGAGAUGCCAAUAAUCGGUGGCAGUGGGCUUUUCCGAUUUGCUAGAGGCUAUGCUCUAGCAUCAACUUACUCGUUCUACGACAACGGAGACGCCACUAUUGAAUACAAUUGUUAUGUCAUACAUUAUUGAUUUUUUUUAUUUUUUUAUUUUUUAUUUUUGUGGAGUUUUGAUCCACAAUAGUGAUAUACUUGAAUAAUUGUGUAUUCCCACCAUAGCUAAGUGGGAUUCUCUAGUUUUGUUUAAUUUGAAUAAAUUAGGUGGCUCUUACUUCACCUAAUUGAAUGUAAGCAUACUUUAAUAAAAUAAAAUAAAAUGAUUAUUUGUGUGGAUCAAUUACUUUCUUGAAAUUUGUUAAAUCAUACUUUAUUCUUAAAAAAAAAGUUGGAGAAAAGUAGAUUUAAAAGUUUAUAUCAAGAAAGUUGAAGUGUAUCACUUUUCUAUUCAACUUAUCUUAGCUUUGUAUAAUAAAAAUGACAUAAUUAUUUGAUUUCACAUGACCCAAAUUAUCUUAACCAAACUAAAAUAUAUUCAACUUUCACUAAUUUUUAGUCAUAUAUAAUGAUAAUGAAGUUAGAAAAAGCUCAAAAAUUUAUGGAGCAUUCCCAUUUACAAAAAUGCUUUUAAGAAAUGUUUUGAUGAAAAUUAUAAUCGUCGCAACUAUCCCACAAAAGAUGGAGGGCAAUCCUCCAACCCCCUUUCUCGUGAUAAUUAAAGUAUAAAAGAUUAUCCAUUUUGAUAAUAUGAUAUUUUUAUGUAAUGUCUGUAAAUGUGUAAUCAUACUAAUGAUAACAAGAAUUAAUGAUUAUUUGGUAUAUGUAGGUAUCACCACACGAUGGAGUCGAGACCCUUGGAUCCGACAGUUCUACAUGGACAGGCUACACACAGGUCAUCUCUAGCAUGGACAGGUGUUGACUCUAAGAAGCUUCAUUAUCGACGUCGUGAGGCGAUCUUCCAUCGCACCAGUGUACUCGAUGGGCGUAUUAUUCCAUUGUUGCAGCAGGCAGGCUUCUAUGGUGUUGCACGCUUAGGAUUCAUUUCCUUAUAUUGGCAUCUUAUUACUGCAUUUGUCAAGAGAUGGCGACCUGAGACUCAUACACAUGUUUAGAUUAGAGACGUGUAUGUUAUUCUCUAUUAGAACUCACUCCUGGAGAUACAGAUAUAGAUGGGUAGCACCUUCAUCUUACAUGGUUGAGUUAGAGUUUCCCUACUUUGGCACUAGAUGCUGAUAAGGAGUCUAUUCAGCGUUAUACUAGAGCUUAUAUCUUACAACUCAUUGGAGGUUUUCUAUUUUCAGGAAAGUCUAACGAUAAGGUGCAUCUUAUGUUUUUACCCCUUCUAAAGGAUUUUGAGGUUGCUAGUAGGUAUAGUUGGGGUAGUGCCUGUUUAGCUUGGCUUUAUCGACAGUUGUGUCGAGCCUCUCAUAUUGAUACACAUGAUAUAUCUGGCCCACUGAUUUUGCUCCAGUUAUGGGUAUGGGAGAGGUUCCCAUUUAUUGCACCUCAUCGUUUACGUAUAGCUCCACAUGAUGACCAACUGCCUCCAUCUCUAUUGGCCAUUCGGUAUAUAUUAUAAAAUUACGACAAAUUUUACUAUUAUGAGGAUACACACAUAAACUUAAAUUCUAACAUUUUUUAUUUAUUUAACUAUGCUUUGUUAUUUUAAUUUUAUAGGUGGAGAGAUGAGUUUCGGACUACUUCGAUUAGCAUGCACGUCUUAGCUCAGUAUAGGCACCAUCUUGAUCGACUUAUAACAAAUCAGGUGAUAAAAGUGUAAUUCAUUUCUUAUACUUGUUUUUCUAAACAAAUUUUAAACCACUGAUUAUAUCUAACGUUUCUUGGGUACAGAUUAUAUGGCAGCCUUAUGUUGAUGACAUGAAUGUUGGUCUUCCUGAUUAUUGUACUGCUGGGAAAGAUAUAUGGUGCACUAUCUCACCUUUGAUAUGUUUCCACAUAAUUGAAUGGCAUAGACCUGAUCGAGUAUUGCGGCAAUUUGGAUUACGUCAAGGGAUUCCUCAGCCAUGUGAUAAUGAGUCAAUCUUACACAAAUGUGAUUUGAAAAGUAGACAUGAUGUUGAUUGGACUACUCGACAUGAAGACUACAUUCAACGUUAGAGCUCUAGGCAUGAGCAUAUUGCUAGAAGGGAGAUGGUUAUAGGUUCAUUGGGAUAUCAUGAUCCAUACAUGGUGUGGUAUCGCUCCAUUACUAUUCAGUUUCUUACUCGAACUGGGUCCUUCCACGAGCUAUUGGUAAUGUUCAUGUUUUGUUUUUUUAUUAAAGUUUAUUUUAUUUUUAUAAUAAUUUUAAUUUAACUCUUAUUUGACUUACAGACUUCUAGCAUACACCAAAUAUAUGAUAUUGCACCUCCAGAUGAUUUUCGCAUUCGUAAGCUAUGUACUACUGUAUUAAAGGCCAUACAUGAGAUGGAUCGCUUAGAUGCUUCAUUUAGUGUUGAUGCUACUAUACAGCUCCAGCCUCCAUUAGGAGAUGUACGACCUACACGACAAGGGCCUCAUACAAGGGAGAUUAGGCAUACACCAGUUGUUGCCCAAGUGCGACCAUUGAUUGACAUUAGUCCACCACCUCAUCAGCAGCCGACAUCAUCUAUUACUCGAUCAGGAGGUGAACGGACUAGAAGGGGAGAGCCUCAUAUGAGGAGUAGUCCACCACCUCAUCAGCAGCCGAUAUCAUCUAUUACUCGAUUAGGAGGUGUAUGGACUAGAGGAGGAGGGCCUCAUACAAGGAGUAGUCCAUCACCUCAUCACCAGCCGAUAUCAUCCAUUACUCAAUCAGGAGGUGUACAGACUAGAGGGCGAGAGGCUCAUACUAGAGGGACUAGGCAUACAUAUGUUCUUAGAGAUGCACCAUUGACUGACAUUAGCCUACCACCUGUUCAGGAGACUCCUAUUACACCUAUGAAGGUGUCAUCCACCCCACCUGUAGUACCACUUGUUGCAUCAUCACCACCAUCGAUAGAGGCUACAUUAGUUAAUGAAGAGUUAGUUCAUAUAGCAAAUGAUGAUCAGAAAGGACAAAAGACUGAUCGUAGUCGAAGACAUGGUCGAGGACGUGGUAGGAAAUGUGGUCGUCGAGCUCAUGGAGGGUUACAUGUUAGCCUCAUAGAGCUAAUAGUGGAGCAUGCACAUCCUAGAUGUCCACUACGGAAGAGGAAGACUCCUUCGUGAAGUACACAUUGAGAAUGUUACUAUAUAUGACUUGUAUUUUGGAUACUAUUAGUAUUUUGCAUAUCAUUAUUUUGGACAAAUACUCAAGAUGUAUGUUUUUACUUGUUAUAUUUUGGAUUAACUAACUUUUUAUUAACGUAAGUUCUAUAGUAUUCUAUCUAUUUUGGACUUAUUUUACACAAAAUAGUAUUGUUAUUAUUUUGGAAAGGUGCUGACUUAAUUGACAUUUGGUUUACUUGUUUUCAUUGGUUUUGGAUUGAAUGUCAAAAUAUUGAUUAUAAUGUAUACAGAUGAUAAACUUUAAACAUUUGGUUGUACAAUAGGUAAUAUUAAUUAAGAGAUAUAAUUUUUUUUUUUCUUUUGUGGAAGGUGUCUCUUCAAGAAACACUUUCAGCAUAAAUUCGAAAUUUUCUACUAUGUAUGAAAAUUGUGGAAAGUGUCUCUUGAAGAGAUACUUUCAGUAUAAACCGAUUUUUUUUUUAAAUUAUGGAAAUUGUGGAAAGAAACACUUUCAGUAUAAACCCAAUUUUUUUUUCAAAUUAUGGAAGAUGUCUCUUGAAGAGACACCUUUAGUAUAAUUCUAUCUUUUGGGAAUUGUAGAAUGUCCCUUUUCAAAAUUCGAAAUUUCGAAAUUUUCCACUGUGUAUGAAAAAUUGUAGAAAGUGUCUCUUGAAGAGACAAGAGACAUUUUUAGUAUAAACCCAAUUUUAAAAAAAUUAUGAAAGUCGUCUGAAUAUAAUUCCAAUUUUUUUUUUUGUAAUUAUGGAAAGUGUCUCUUGAAGAGACACCUUCAACAUAAAUUCGAAAUUUUCCAUUGUUUAAAUGAAAAUUGUGAAAAAUGUCUUUUGAAGAGACACUUCAAGUAUAAACCCAAUUUUUUUAAAAUUGUUGAAGGUGUCAAGAGACACCUUUCACAAUUCCUAAAAAAUGAAAUUAUAUUGAAGGUGUCUCUUCCAUUAUUUUAAAAAAAAUUGGGUUCAUAGAGAUUUUCCAUAAUUUUCAUACAUUGAAGAGAGACAUCUUUAUAAAUCAUUUCCACAAUUUUUAAUACAUAUUGGAUUUUGUGGAAUUGUGGAAAGUGUCCUUUCAAGAGAUACCUUUAGUAUAAAUCUAAUUUUUAGGAAUUGUAAAAGGUGUCUCUUGAAGAGACACCUUUAAUGCAUAUUAGAUUUUUUAUCACGUGGAAACUGUCUCUUCAAGAGACACCUUUAAUAUAAAUCCAAUUUUUUUGAAUUGUAGAAUGUGUCUUUUCAAGAGACACCUUUAGCUUAAAUUCAAUUCUUUUAAAUAUGUAUCAUGAUUUUGAAAAUUGUGAAAGGUGUCUUUUGAAAUAGACACCUUCCACUUUCACGUGGCCAAAACUGUAGUAUAUAUAUCAACAUUUUCUCAACUUCCAUUUUUUAAUAAUUAUUUUUUUAAAUUGCCGCAAAAGUUAAAAAAGCCCCAACUCUUUGCCACCCAAUUGGGAGACUGAAAUGCCUCUCUAUCCAUAGAAUCUAUAGUCUUGACCAGCUGAUUUUCCAAGGAAAGUGGUUGAAUCUUAAUGGGUGUUGAGACCCAUUAAUGUUGAGAGGAACUCAAAAUCCUAAUAAAAAUGCAUUUCAAUUAAUAAUGAGUUUUUAAUUUAUGUUCUCAUUUUUAAUAAUUAAUUCGCAUAAAAUAACAAAUUAAAAGUGAAAUAGAUUUUUUAAUUUCAUUUUUUGUUUCAAUGUUUCAAUAUCUCAAACAAGGAUUAUUCUCACAUAUUUGAAAGAUUUAUAAAACAAUUCUUUUCAAAAAAAUAUUCAAUUAUAAGGUGUUUGGUUAAUCAACUUAAUCAUUUAAUUUAAAUUAUUAAAUAAAUAAAAUAUAUUUAAUAAAAUAAUUUAAUAUUAAAAUUAUUUUUAACUUUUAAUAUUAAAUUAAAAUAAUUAACUUAUACUUAAUUUCAAAACUUUUUACCUCGUUUUUCAUAUUAAUAUAAAAUAAUUAACAUACCUACCUUGGCUCACAAGUUUAAAUGGUAAAAUGACAAUUUUAUCCAAUAGGAUGAAGGGUUUUGGCCCACCACAAUAAACCUUAGGGCCCACUUUGAUGGUGGACACUUAUGUUAGGUGGGCCAUCAACAGAAUUAUUAAUAUAUUAUAGCUAAGGUAAUUAAUGAUAUUUAUUCUCGUUGUUAUUAUUAUUAUUAUUAUUAAAAUUAAAUAAUUUUAAAUAUUAAUUAUGAAAAUAUAUCAAAUUAAACAACCAGUACUAAGAAUAUUUAAAAAAAAUAGAUUUUAUAUAUAUAUUAAAAAAAUUACCAAGAACAUUUAAAAGGAAAUUUCAAAAGAAAUAAAAACUAAAAAAAAAAAUCAUUAUAAAUUUUGAAUAAUUUUAAUUAUUUUAUCCCAAAAACCCAUAAAAGUUAUUUUAAAGAAUUCAAUCAUUUAUAUUAUAAAUUUUGAUAUUUUUCAUGGAAAAUGUGUGUUUUUAAAUCUCAAUUGUUUUAUAACAUAAUUUUAUUUAUUUAUAUCUUAAUCAUAUUCUUUAUAGUUAUAUCCAAAUACCUAAAUUUUUCUAUGUACUUAUAAAAAUAAGGAUUAAAAUUUUAAUAGAUGUCAAAAUCAAUAUUUUUAAAAUUUUUCUUUUUUCAAAUAAUUAAAUAUAUGAUAAUUGAAAGUAAAAUUAUUUACUUAAAACUUAUGUUUCAUAUAAUAAGUCAUUAUGAAAACAGUAUCAAUUUAAAAGUAUUAUUUUUUAUGAUUUAAUUAAGUAUAAUAAAAAAAAUAAGCAUAAAAAGGAAAAAGAUUGAAUAAACAAAAGGAAAUAAAUACUAAUAUCAAAUGAGAAUUUUUUUAAAUUUUAGUUCAAUUUUAAUAUUUUAUUAGUAAUUAAUGGUCAAUAUUGUUUUUUUGGUAAUAAUAUUUAGUUGUCAUUAUUUUGAAAAUUAAAUUCAUAUUUUUUUAGAGGGGGUAAAUUUUCUAUUUUGGUUUCUAUUUUCCUAAAAAAGUUUUGACAUAUAAGGGAAUUUGUUUGUUUCUAGAAAAUUCAGAGGGCCAGGUGCCCCCCUGAGCCUUACCUGGCACCGCCAGAGGCGGCAAGACUCAUUUUCUAGAAAAAGUUUUUAUAUGUUUUCCUUCUUUCCAUUCAAAAAAUGAGUGCUUUUACAAGUCGAUAAGACUUUGAAAUUACCCAAAACCACCAAGUGCCCAAGCCACCAAACCCAAUAAGCUGGAGGGCCAUUUUGGUCAUUCUCGUUAGAAAUUUUCUCCAUUGUGAUGCGUAUUUGAGCGGUUGGCAACUAUGACUUGGCCUUUGCCCGGUUGGAAGCUUCAUACUGACUUUGAAUUUGGAAAUGUCAAUUUUAUUGUAUGGAAAAGUCAUUCUUAUUGUAUGAAAAAUCAACCAAUCGAUACAUAUAUAUAGCCUAGGUUUUGUGAGCUAAGGUAUAUACCUCAAGUUUUGUGAGCAAAGGUUUAUAGCUCAAGUUUUGUGAGCAAAGGGUGUGUAUUGUAGUCAUGGCUAAAACUCUCCUUGUUUCGCCUUCCUACUUCAUCUUCUUCAUCUUUCUCAUUUUUUCUUCUACCACAACACCAAUUUUUGGAGAAGAAUAUAGUUAUGUCAAAAGUGUCGAUCCUAAAAAAAUGAAGAUACCAAGAGAAAAGGUAAGUCAUUUUAAACUUUAUUGGCAGGAUGAUGUUAGCGGGUCUAAUGCAACCUCAGUCACAGUGAUUGAAGCACUGAACAACUCGUCACCAUAUUUUGGUAUGGUAAAUAUAAUUGAUAACUCGUUAACCGUUGGGCCAAAUAUGAGCUCAAAAACGGUUGGAAAGGCCCAAGGGCUUUACGUAUCUACGGGACAAGAAGAUGCUUCAUUAUUGAUGGUUAUGAAUUUUGCAUUCACUGAUGGCAAGUACAAUGGUAGCACAUUCACUGUGUUAGGACGAAACAAUGUAAAUGCUGAGGUAAGGGAGAUGCCAAUAAUUGGUGGCAGUGGGCUUUUUCGAUUUGCUAGAGGCUAUGCUCUAGCAUCAACUUACUCAUUCUACGACAACGGAGACGCCACUAUUGAAUACAAUUGCUAUGUCAUACAUUACUGAUGUUUUUUCUUUUUCUAAUUUUUCCGUUGAGCUUUGUUCCACAAUAGUGAUAUACUUGAAUAAUUGUGGGUUCCCACCAUAGCUAAGUGGGAUUCUCUAGUUGUUUUUAAUUUGAAUAAAUUAGGUGGUUCUUACUUCACCUAAUUGAAUGUAAGCAUGUUGUAAUAAAAUAAAAUAAAAUGCUUAUUUACAUGGAUUAAUUACUUUCUUGAAAUUUGUUAAACUACACUUUAUUCUUUAAAAAAAAAUGGAGAGAAGUAGAUUUAAAAGCUUAUAUCAACAAAAUUGAAGUGGUAUCACUUUUCUAUUCAACUUAUGUUGGCUUUGUUUAAUUAAAAAUGACAUAAUUCUUUGAUUUCACAUGACCCAAAUUAUAUUAACCAAACUAAAAUAUAUUCAACUUUCACUAAUUUUUAAUCAUAUAUAAUGAUAAUGAAGUUAGAAAAAAGCUCAAAAAUUUAUGGAGCGUUCCCAUUUACAAAAAUGCUUUUAAGAAAUGUCUCGAUGAAAAUUAUAAAUUUUAUUUACCUUGAUACACAAGUUAACUUUUUCCUUUAUUUUACCCAAGAUAUGAUUUAAUUGAACAUAUUUCAAAAGAAGAUUGGAUUCAUAAACAACAAACUUUUCCCUUUAUUUACAAAUUCUACAAGUUCCAUAACUAGGGUUUGAAUCAAAAUGGGCUAAAAAUUAAUGUCAUCUCAAUUUUGCUUCAUUUUUUAGACAAGCAAUCAUGACUAUGUUCAAUAAAUUCAUGUGUACAUAACAAGCAAGCAACCAAAAGACCAUUUGUUUUUUUUGUUGUUGCCCUUUGUAUGGUCCAAUAUGUUGGGCCCAUUACAUUUUGAUUCGUAGCUUAAUGGGCUUUUUGCCCAAUUUAAAAGUGGACCUCAUUAGGGCCCACCAAGUUUAAAGCCUCUUAAGACCCUUGAAGAUUAAACGGAAAUAACUAUUUGUCACAAGUGAAAAGUGAGAGAGACUUAUAUUUAAAUGGAAAGACGCUCAAAGAUUGAUUUUUAAUGUAAGUGAAGGUAUGAAAAGUUGAAUAGCUCUCAUAUCAAGCCUUCAAGAGUACUCUUUUCUAAAAAAACUAAGAAAAGAACCUGAUCAAAUAAUUUGGCUAGAAAAAAAAAAAAUACAAAACAC
rnacentral:lncRNA from 1 species